rnacentral:lncRNA from 1 species
GGGGCAGUGAGUUCUCAUCAAGAGCCAGUGGACUCUCAUCCAUCUCUUCUGCCUAAAACAUUAGGAUCCUAAUUAUGAGGCCUCUACAAAGUGAAUUCCACUCAAGAACACAGGUAAUGGAGAUGGAGAAGCUAUUUUCUUUUUCAUGGUAUACAACGAAUUUGAUCAUUCCAUUGCCACUUGACACUGUCAGGAAUCCAGCUGAGAGCCUGAACAAAAGUGUUGAUGACUCCACAAGCCUCUUUCAACAAGCAAUAAUGAGUUGACUCCUGACACCUUGACCCCUUCAGAGAUUAGAUGUCUGGGGAAAGAAAAUGCAGCCUUACACAUAUGAAACAUUUGAUUAUUUCCU